AGCGAACGCUGGCGGCAGGCCUAACACAUGCAAGUCGAACGGCUCUUCGGAGCAGUGGCGGACGGGUGAGUAACGCGUGGGAACGUGCCCUUUGGUUCGGAACAACACAGGGAAACUUGUGCUAAUACCGGAUGUGCCCUCCGGGGGAAAGAUUUAUCGCCAUUGGAGCGGCCCGGGUUGGAUUAGGUAGUUGGUGGGGGAAAGGCCCACCAAGCCUACGAUCCAUAGCUGGUCUGAGAGGAUGAUCAGCCACACUGGGACUGAGACACGGCCCAGACUCCUACGGGAGGCAGCAGUGGGGAAUCUUGCGCAAUGGGCGAAAGCCUGACGCAGCCAUGCCGCGUGAAUGAUGAAGGUCUUAGGAUUGUAAAAUUCUUUCACCGGGGAAGAUAAUGACGGUACCCGGAGAAGAAGCCCCGGCUAACUUCGUGCCAGCCGCCGCAGUAA
rnacentral:rRNA from 1 species